rnacentral:rRNA from 1 species
UACAGAGGGGGCAAGCGUUGUUCGGAAUUACUGGGCGUAAAGGGCGCGUAGGCGGCCUGCUAAGUCGAACGUGAAAUCCCCGGGCUCAACCCGGGAACUGCGUCCGAUACUGGUGGGCUUGAAUCCGGGAGAGGGAUGCGGAAUUCCAGGUGUAGCGGUGAAAUGCGUAGAUAUUGGGAGGAACACCAGUGGCGAAGGCGGCUCACUGGACCGGAACUGACGCUGAGGCGCGAAAGCGUGGGGAGCAAACAGG